rnacentral:rRNA from 1 species
GACGAACGCUGGCGGCGUGCUUAACACAUGCAAGUCGAACGGAGUGGCGAACGGGUGAGUAACACGUGGGUGAUCUGCCUUGCACUUCGGGAUAAGCUUGGGAAACUGGGUCUAAUACCGGAUAGUGCAAGAUGAGCUCGCGGCCUAUCAGCUUGUUGGUGGGGUAAUGGCCUACCAAGGCGUCGACGGGUAGCCGGCCUGGGAGGUUGUACGGCCACCUUGGGACUGAGGUACGGCCCAGAGUGGUACGUUAGGCAGCAGUGGGGAAUAUGGCGCAAUGGGCGGAAGCGUGAUGCAGCGACGCCGCGUGGGGGAUGAAGGCCUUCGGGUUGUAAACUCCUUUCGACAGGGACGCGGUACCUGUAUAAGAAGCACCGGCUAACUACGUGCCAGCAGCCGCGGUAAUUC